GGGGCUAUGGCCCUUACAAAGAAAGGCGCUGCAAGGCGUCGCCAGAAGAUGAGUCCGCCCCCCAUUAGCUAGUUGGCGGGAUAACAGCCCACCAAGGCUUCGAUGGGUAGCCGAGCUGAGAGGUUGAUCGGCCACACUGGGACUGAGACACGGCCCAGACACCUACGGGUGGCAGCAGUAGGGAAUAUUGGACAAUGGGCGAAAGCCUGAUCCAGCCAUGCCGCGUGAGUGAUGAAGGCCUUCGGGUCGUAAAGCUCUUUUAUGAGGGAAGAACCGCCCGGGUAGGAAAUGCCCCGGGUCUGACGGUACCUCAGGAAUAAGCAACGGCUAACUCCGUGCCAGCAGCCGCGGUAAUACGGAGGUUGCAAGCGUUGUUCGGAAUGACUGGGCGUAAAGGGAGCGCAGGCGGUUCGAUAAGUCUAAAGUGGAAGCCCGGGGCUUAACCUCGGAAGUGCUUUGGAUACUGUCGAACUCGAGUUCGUGAGAGGAGAGCGGAAUUCCAGGUGUAGCGGUGAAAUGCGUAGAUAUCUGGAGGAACGCCGGUGGCGAAAGCGGCUCUCUGGCACGAUACUGACGCUGAGGCUCGAAAGCAUGGGGAGCGAACAGGAUUAGAUACCCUGGUAGUCCAUGCUGUAAACGUUGUGCAACUAGUGUGGGAGGUAUCGACCCCCUUCGUGCCGCAG
rnacentral:rRNA from 1 species